AGAUACCCUGGUAGUCCACGCCGUAAACGAUGUCGAUUUGGAGGUUGUGCCCUUGAGGCGUGGCUUCCGGAGCUAACGCGUUAAAUCGACCGCCUGGGGAGUACGGCCGCAAGGUUAAAACUCAAAUGAAUUGACGGGGGCCCGCACAAGCGGUGGAGCAUGUGGUUUAAUUCGAUGCAACGCGAAGAACCUUACCUGGUCUUGACAUCCACAGAACUUUCCAGAGAUGGAUUGGUGCCUUCGGGAACUGUGAGACAGGUGCUGCAUGGCUGUCGUCAGCUCGUGUUGUGAAAUGUUGGGUUAAGUCCCGCAACGAGCGCAACCCUUAUCCUUUGUUGCCAGCGGUCCGGCCGGGAACUCAAAGGAGACUGCCAGUGAUAAACUGGAGGAAGGUGGGGAUGACGUCAAGUCAUCAUGGCCCUUACGACCAGGGCUACACACGUGCUACAAUGGCAUAUACAAAGAGAAGCGACCUCGCGAGAGCAAGCGGACCUCAUAAAGUAUGUCGUAGUCCGGAUUGGAGUCUGCAACUCGACUCCAUGAAGUCGGAAUCGCUAGUAAUCGUAGAUCAGAAUGCUACGGUGAAUACGUUCCCGGGCCUUGUACACACCGCCCGUCACACCAUGGGAGUGGGUUGCAAAAGAAGUAGGUAGCUUAACCUUCGGGAGGGCGCUUACCACU
rnacentral:rRNA from 1 species